GACAGAGGCCCCAAGCGUUAGGCGGAAUCACUGGGCUUAAAGCGUGUGUAGGCGGACGCCUAAGUGUCUUGUGAAAUCCCACGGCUCACCCGUGGAACUGCUGGGCAUACUGGGCGUCUUGGGCCAACUAGGGGUAGCCGGAACAAGCGGUGGAGCGGUGAAAUGCGUAGAUAUCGCUUGGAACGCCGAAGGUGAAAACAGGCUGCUGGGGUUGUGCCGACGCUGAGACACGAAAGCCAGGGGAGCAAACGGG
rnacentral:rRNA from 1 species